ACCCUGAAUCCCACUUGAAGUCCCUUGGGUCGCCCACACGCGCGCGCAAACGCAGGGGACUAAAGAAUGACGAGCAGAGGCAACCGUCGCGGCGUCGAUGAACCUGACAACAGCAGUGGCAAUGGUGGCGAUGACCGGUGGAGAGCUGAAGAAGCCAUCGGCGGCAACCGAGAAGCGCUGGAGGCUCUCAGAGAGCUCAUCACCUUCCCUAUUCUCUACUCCCGCGAAGCUCAGAGGCUUGGCCUCAAGUGGCCGCGAGGCUUGCUUCUCUACGGACCACCGGGCACUGGAAAGACAAGCUUGGUUCGUGCAGUUGUACAAGAGUGUUCUGCGCAGUUAACCAUUAUCAGCCCACACUCUGUUCACAAAGCUCAUGCUGGAGAAAGUGAGAGUAUUCUGCGAGAAUCUUUUUCUGAAGCAUCUGCUAUUGCAAUGUCGGGCAAGCCAUCGGUUAUCUUCAUAGAUGAAGUAGAUGUGCUCUGCCCUCAUCGUAAUUCGAGAAGAGAGCAAGAUGUCCGUUUGACGUCUCAAUUAUGUACCCUGAUGGACUCUAUUCAGCCAUUACCAGGAUCAUUGCCACAAUUAGUUGUUGUUGCAUCGACUAACAGAGUGGAUGCAAUUGACCCUGCACUUAGAAGGUAUGGGCGUUUUGAUGUUGAAAUAGAAGUUACAACACCCAAUGAAGAAGAGCGCUUUCAAGUUCUCCAGCUGUACACAAAAAAAAUUCCUUUGGAUCCUACUGUUGACUUGAGAUCCGUCGCUCUAAUGUGCAAUGGAUAUGUUGGAGCUGAUUUAGAAGCUUUAUGCCGUGAAGCAACUGCUUUUGCUCUUAAAAGGUUUUCAGAUGUAGAGCAGGCACUUUUGCUUACAAUGGAAGAUUGGGACUAUGCUAGAUCUAUUGUUGGCCCAAGUAUAACAAGGGGUGUUACUGUGGAAAUUCCUAAGGUAUCAUGGGAUGAUAUUGGAGGAUAUAAGGAAUUGAAGAGGAAAAUUCAGCAAGCUGUUGAGUGGCCUAUCAAACAUUCUGCUGCUUUUUCAAGGCUGGGAAUAUCACCAAUACGUGGAGUACUUCUGCAUGGACCUCCAGGGUGCUCAAAAACUACUCUUGCGAAAGCCACUGCUCAUGCUACCCAAGCUUCUUUUUUUUCCUUGAGUGGAGCAGAAUUAUAUUCAAUGUAUGUCGGAGAGGGGGAAGCCUUAUUGAGGAAUACCUUCAGGAGAGCUCGUCUUGCGGCACCGAGCAUCAUAUUUUUUGAUGAGGCUGAUGUUGUGGCAGGCAAGCGUGGAGGUAAAUCAAGCAGCAAUGCCAUAGUUGGAGAGAGGCUAUUGUCCACAUUGUUGACUGAGAUGGACGGUUUAGAGCUGGCAAAUGGAAUCAUUGUGUUAGCUGCUACCAAUCGGCCCCAUGCAAUUGAUGGUGCACUUAUGCGGCCUGGACGUUUUGAUUUGGUGCUCUAUGUACCACCGCCAGAUUUGGUGUCUCGCCGUGAGAUAUUGCGCGUGCAUACUCGAAACAUGAAGAUAGGAAAUGAUGUUGAUCUCAGAGAUUUAGCAGAACACACGGAACGGUUCACGGGAGCCGAAUUGGAGAGCCUGUGCAGGGAAGCAGGAAUGGUCGCUCUAAGAGAAAACAUACAUGCAACAGCCGUUUAUGACCGUCAUUUCCAAAUCGUUAGGGAGUCCUUGAAGCCAGCAUUGUCUGAAGCAGACAUUUAUUCGUAUGAAUCGUUCCGAAGGACUCGAUAGCUGAGGCCUUGUGACUGUACGAUCCAAACUGACAUGACCCUACUUGAAGCCGCACAUCAGUUCACCUGGAUCGGGGCAUUCUGGAUUAUGCCUCCUGGAAUCUGAAUAUGGUUGCAUCAUUUC